AUUGAACGCUGGCGGCAGGCCUAACACAUGCAAGUCGAGCGAGCGGCGGACGGGUGAGUAUUGUCUGGGAAACUGCCUGAUGGAGGGGGAUAACUACUGGAGACGGUAGCUCAUACCGCAUACCCUCAGAUGUGCCCAGAUGGGAUUAGCUAUUAGGUGGGGUAAAGGCUCACCUAGGCGACGAUCCCUAGCUGGUCUUAGAGGAUGACCAGCAACACGGGAACUGAGACACGGUCCAGACUCCUACGGGAGGCAGCAGUGGGGAAGAUUGCACAAUGGGCGAAAGCCUGAGGCAGCCAUGCCGCGUGUGUGAAGAAGGCCUUCGGGUUGUAAAGCACUUUCAGCGGGGAGGCGUUACCCGCAGAAGAAGCACCGGCUAACUCCGUGCCAGCAGCCGCGGUAAUUC
rnacentral:rRNA from 1 species